rnacentral:lncRNA from 1 species
GAAAAAGAAGGAGAGGAAAGGAAAGGAAGAAAGGAAGAGGAAAGGAAAGGAAGAAAGGAAGAGGAGAGGGAUCCCGGUUGCACUUCCAGCUGAAGGGAAAAACGUAGAUCUCCUUCCCCUCUACGCAAGGACCUCGAUUUCCAAAAAGAAAAAGGUAAAUAUCCGUCUCUAUCUAGUCUUUUGAUGACAUUAGGCUAUACAAAGGGUGGAUAUAGUCUAGAGGGGUCGGAUAAGGGUUGUAGAGGCGGUUAAAAGAGGAAGAAUCGGAUUUUGACAAAUUUUUCCGGCACUACGGAAAAACUGUGUCGAAGUUCCAACUUUGGUGAAUUAUUUUGGAGGUCAAUCGGCCUCCGAUGGGGAUGCAUGUUACCAUUUUGGAAACCCCAAUGAGUGUAGAACAUUGGGUAUAAAUUU